AUUAUAUCAAAAAAAUAAAAAUAAAAACUGAUUUACCCUCUUUGAAUUUCAGCGUAGUGAUUUCAGCAGCCUGGGCAAUCCAUUUUCAUUUUAUCUCAAUAGUCUUUUUCCGUGAACCCUCAAUUCAAUUCGAAAUAAACUCGCCAAAUUGAAGCUGGAAUUCGAAUAUCUAUUCUACAUUAAGCAUAGUUCAAUUUUGAAUUGACCUACGAAUCGUGGUGGCAUUAAUUUAAACAAAUCCAGUACAAAGUUUGGACAGGAUUCCAAUCCGUAUUGAGAGAAGAACAUGAUAACUCGGUCGAAACUCGUAGAGCAACUCAGAGAUAACCAGAUCCGAUCCCAACACAAGUGCCUCGCCCUUACUGUAUUUUCUCCCAAACCUGCUAUUGCCUCCUGGUAAGCCCUACAUGCAUAUACAAACCUGAUUUUACAUACGAAGUUAUAUGCAUAUGUGUUUGUCUGUCGUUGUGUUUGCUUAUGUUGGUUCGUCAAUAUUGGAGAUUCUUACACUAAAUUAGCUAUUGUACACAUGGGUGCAUUAGUUAUGUGAUGUUCUUGUGUUAAAUAGGCUUAUGUUGUAAUAAUUGGCAUCCUUCACACUUGAAUUAUUUUGAAUACAUGGGUGAAACAAUUAAAUAUGGAUCACAUAUCACUCGUGGACAAGUGCUUCUAAUUGUGGUACCAGAGCAUGAAACCCUUUUCUGAGAAACACAUGUAGCGGAUGAUGUGACUGGGAGAGACCUACUUUCAAUAAUACACUAGUUCUGUGGAGUUCUCUGAGAUAGAAAAAUGGGAUGUUGUGGAAGAGGUGUAAAUAAGAAGGAACACUUCUGAAUCCCACAGUGCUCGUGGAACAUCCACCUUGUGGCUUUAUAAGCACACUGCACAUCAUUUCCUUAUUACAAGUUGAUUUUAAGAUAUUCCUAUCCAAAUGCUUGUAAUAAUGUAUUGAAAAACUAGAAUGGUGUUUGCACUUUUGUAGUUAUUGACAUUCUUUGGGAUACAGUCUUUAAUUAAAAAAAUUUUUUAUGGACGUAAUCCAUCACCCAUACGUAUAAUCACUUGGUUCUAAGGGCGGGGGCCUAUACUAUUAGUAUGUCCAUGAAUCUUCAGAAUCAAUUUAUGACAUUUCUUGAGAUGCCGCCCAUGCCCAGCCCACUCCUCUGGCCCCUUAAUCCAUUCAAAGAACACAACGAAGUAGGAGUAUACAAGGCUGAGAGCAUGUUUGGCUAAGAUAAAAAGAAAAGUAAAGUAAUUUUUAAGUAACCUUUUGUCUCAAAACAUGUUUGCUUAACUUACUAUUUUUCUUACUUUUACGUUAACAAAGUUACUUCUAAAGUAACAAGUGUGUUACUUUUGAAACAAGUAACUUAAUUUCACUAAUAAAGAAUUAUUUGUUUUCAUAUUUACUUUUUUUAUAGGUGAACUUUUUAAGCUUAGCUAAACAAUGCUCUUUACUCAAAUUGCCUAACCUCCUAAUCAAAUACUGAAUAGUUUAUUAAUUGUCAUCUUAUUAGAAAAUGGACCCUAGAUGGAAGAGAAAUCUGUAAAUUGAGGACUCUAACCCCUUUAAUGCAACAUGCUGAAACUUUUUACAGGUACACAAUUCU
rnacentral:lncRNA from 1 species